UCAAACCCGAUGCCGGGGAAAAGUAACCGUUGACCUGAUCACAGAGAGCCGGUGGGUGGUGCAAACCGGCCGGGGAAGCGGCGAAUUCCUCCCCGAAGGGGUCCCGUCGACAACGUAGGCGGGAACGGUGUGCCCGUUACCGCAUCCGAGUGGGCCGCGCCGGGUCAGGCGCCGGCCAAGAAGGGUGGCAACGCGGGAGUAUCCUCUCGUCCCUUUC
rnacentral:ncRNA from 1 species